UGAAGCUGCGUGAGGCUUCCUGUAUGGUACUCUUCUGCAAGAAGAGACUCUUACUUGAAGUUAGCUUAAUCCUCACUUUAUUGUUGUUACUAGUCAAAUUAAUUGCUGUCUUUGUCAGAGAUAAUAAACCCUUUGCAAAUCUGAUAAUAUUUACUUAGGUGUUUUCAUUUCUUGAAAGGUGAAGAUGUGUAAAAAAAAAAGGAAUUUUGGUGGCAGUUUGUUGGAAUGAGGAAUUGAAGUGCAUUUUAGUCAUGUACAUGAAUCUAYAGAACAUAAUCUGAAAUCUUAUAUGUCUUUUGAGGUUUGCACUUGUUCCACUUGUGUCUUGUCUCUUUUUCUAGUCAUGUUCUCAAAAAUGUCACAGUAGCCACAAUGGAGCAUUUCUCCCAUUCCCACCUGUGCUCUGUGAUGUGAAAAAAUAAUGUUAGUACACAGAGGUCUUGACUUCCUCUUGAAUACAUCUGUAUGAUUUUAUUGUGCAGUCCACUGUGCCUGUGAUCUGUCUGAGAGCAGCUGGCCAUGAGCAUUGCCAAGGUAUUGCACUGGGCUGCUGAUUAUUUUAUCUAUUUCAGAAAACUUGAAAAACUGCAUCCAUGAAAAAAACACUUGCAAACCACAGCCUCACCAUGAAGGCAUUAGGGCAGCCAUGGCUAUACCAAGUGUCUUAACCAGAGUCUUUCACUCUCUGACAAAUCUUUUCUUCUUGAAGACCAGAAAGAUUGUUAUUGAGCCUUCCACAAAGCUGAAAUAAUGCUGUGUGUUAAAAAAAUGUUAACAAUUUGAAGAAGUUAUAAAAAUUUAUAAGUUGACUGAAUACUUUGGAAAUUUCUGCAUAUUUUAAUAUAAAUAGGUGCUGGCAGCAUGUGGAGCUGAGAACAGUGAAAGCCCAAAGGAGUAGGGCACCAGAGGAGGUCAUCAGGAGCAGUCAUGCCUGAUAAACCCUCCAGGAAGGAGAAAGGGAGAAUGAUUGAUUGAUUGAUUGAUUCCAAGUUUCUGUAGGUAAAGUUGGUGCCUAUCUGAAAUCUACUGUGAUUUAGUAUUUCAUGAUGGAUUCCCUCCUGACAUACUUCCUGUGAAAUUUUGAUAGGGCUAGAAGCACUUUGUAGCACCACUUCCAUUUACAAGUGUGCAAAACUAGUGCACAACAUUCCCAGGCUUUUGAUUGUGCAGUUUUUAUAGAUCUGUUUCUCAAGACAUCCUGGAACGUGCUUUGGUGAGUUGGAAGGCUUUCUUGGUCAUUGACACCAGAGCUAUGAAAUAACAUUGCUGCUAGCUGGCAGUCUGCUCUGUAGAAAGCUGCUUAUAAUUUUCAAAGACUGCUUUCCAAAUGGARUCACUAUGGUAAAUGAACCCAUUAAAGCUUACACUCACAAAACUGAAUUCAGUUCAGGAGAAUUGAUUCUUCAGUCUUUUGUGAGUCACUUCCACUGUAACAUUCUCUGGAAUCAUUCAUUUUUGAGUGUUUAAAAUGACUGAUUGGUAAUGCGGAGUUAUCAUAGAUUCAGAGGUAUUUCCAUGUUCCCUGUCAAUGUGCCACUUCAUACCAUAUUCUCACAGAGACUGUUAUAUAAAAGUACUAUUUUACAGAGCGGGGGCACAGAGAGAAUAAAUGAUGUAGAUAAGUCUGUGUAAAGAAAUAUGUUGCAGAACUGCUGAUUCUAGGUUUCCUCAUGUUACAGUGUUUAGCCUCUGGACYAGCUCUCUUGUUCUCUAGCAAAGGUUCAUCACCUUUGUGCUGCAGCUCUUGCUCAUCCCAUCCAGCAUGGACAAAAAGGUUGCACAAUGUUCAGGUGAGUCUGAAAGCUGUUUGGAUUCUUAGCUUUAGUGACAGCGUUAUUUCUAAUAAAGUGGUGGUUAGCUGAGACAAGUGUAUUUAGUGCCUAAGUAGAGCAUGUUUCUGUAUGGCACUACUUUGGAAACAAGGAAAGCAAAAAAUGUAUGGUGAGGUUGUUGUCAAGAACCGUUCUUGCUACAAGCAAUGGGCACARCACUUUGGCUUUUAAAGUUUGCUAAAAUUAUUUGCUGGUAAGAUUCUGGCUUGCGAAAGGUGAUAAGAUGCACCAGCGCAACACAGACAUCAUUGCUACAUCUUGUCAGUAGUUGUGAAGAUACAUGUUAACAACGUUAAGAUUUCCCAG